AGUGAACGCUGGCGGUAGGCCUAACACAUGCAAGUCGAACGGCAGCACAGUAAGAGCUUGCUCUUACGGGUGGCGAGUGGCGGACGGGUGAGGAAUACAUCGGAAUCUACUUUUUCGAGGGGGAUAACGUAGGGAAACUUACGCUAAUACCGCAUACGACCUACGGGUGAAAGCAGGGGAUCUUCGGACCUUGCGCGAUUGAAUGAGCCGAUGUCGGAUUAGCUAGUUGGCGGGGUAAAGGCCCACCAAGGCGACGAUCCGUAGCUGGUCUGAGAGGAUGAUCAGCCACACUGGAACUGAGACACGGUCCAGACUCCUACGGGAGGCAGCAGCGGGGAAUAUUGGACAAUGGGCGCAAGCCUGAUCCAGCCAUACCGCGUGGGUGAAGAAGGCCUUCGGGUUGUAAAGCCCUUUUGUUGGGAAAGAAAAGCAGCAGGUUAAUACCCCGCUGUUCUGACGGUACCCAAAGAAUAAGCACCGGCUAACUUCGUG
rnacentral:rRNA from 1 species